GCCCUAGUAGUUUAGUAUAAAAGCAUCGGUCUUGUAAUCCGAAGAUCAGAGGUUAAAUUCCUCUCUAGUGCC
rnacentral:tRNA from 1 species